ACAAAGUAAGCAUUGAAUGGAUGACUAGGUACAAAGGAAAUAGGACGUUGAAUAAAACGAAAUCGCCAUAGAAAGGCAAACUGUGAUCUAUGGAUAUCCCAAGGGGAAACCCUAAUUCUAAUAACUUUGCGAACUGAAACAUCUAAGUAGCAAAAGGAAAGGAAAUCAACCGAGACUCCGUUAGUAGUGGCGAGCGAAAGCGGAUUAGGCCUUGAAUAAUAUUUUUUCAUCAUGGAAAAUAGAAAGAAGUUUCGAACUUUGGAAUCUAUUGCCAAAGAAGGUGUUAGCCCUGUACAUGAACAAUCGACGCUUUCUCUGAAAGCUAGUAUAUAUUAUUCUAUUGAGUAAAACGAAACUAUUUGUUUGAAGAUGGGGGGACCACCCUCCAAGCCUAAGUAUCUCUUUGUAACCGAUAGUGUACAAGUACCGUGAGGGAAAGGUGAAAAGAAGCCUAAAAAAGGCUUGUGAAAUAGACACCUAAAAUUCGAUGCUUUCAAUCAGUAGAAGCUUUUCUAUGCUUUUCUUUUUUAGAAAAAGCUAGUAUGAAGUGACUGCGUACCUUUUGCAUAAUGGGUCAGCGAGUCAAUAAAAAUAGCAAGCUUAAGCCACUAGGUGGAGGCAUACACAAACGAAGUCUGAAUAAGGCAAUCUUUCUUGAAGUUAUUUUUAUUGGACCCGAAGCCAAGUGAUCUAGUUAUGAGCAGGCUGAAAAAGUAGUAAAGCACUUUGGAGGGCCGAACCCACGUAUGUUGCAAAAUACGGGGAUGACUUGUGACUAGGGGUGAAAGGCUAAUCAAACUUGGAAAUAGCUGGUUUUCCGCGAAAUCUAUUUAGGUAGAGCGGAAUCAUGAAGAAGAAAAGAGGUAGAGCACUCAAUGGGCUAGGGGGGCCCAAAGCCUUACUGAUCCCAAGGAAACUCCGAAUGCUUUUCUUCAAAGAUUCUAGACAGACUUUGAGCGCUAAGGUCCAAAGUCGAAAGGGAAACAGCCCAGAUCGAUUGCUAAGGUCCCUAAACAGUUACUUAGUGGAAAAGGAAGUAAUAUCGCGAAAACAACCAGAAGGUGGGCUUGGAAGCAGCCAUCCUUUGAAGAAAGCGUAAUAGCUCACUGGUCUAGCGAAAUUGCGCCGAAAAUGUAUCGGGUCUUAUGUAACUUACCGAAGCAGCGAAUACUAAAUUUUUCAUUAGUAUGGUAGCGGAACGUUCUGUAAUUCGUUGAAGCUUUUCUGUCAGGAAAUUAGUGGAGAAAUCAGAAGUGAGUAUGCUGACAUGAGUAACGAAUAAAUCAUGUGAAAAUCAUGAUCGCCGAAAAUCGAAGGGUUUCUGCGAUCCGCUCGUCGGCGCAGAGUUAGUCGGUCCCUAAGAUAAUUUCCAAAAGGAAAUUUUCGAUGGGAAUUCCUAUCUAGUGUUUGAAAAUUUAUGAUUGUUAUCAAGAGCUGGUUUCUUGUUAAUUUAUUAAAGAUUUUCCUGGAAAAUUACUAGAAAUUAAUAGACCGUACUGAAAACCAACACUGGUCGAUAAGUAGAAUAUACUAAGGCGUGUGAGAGAACCAUGUUGAAGGAACUCGGCAAAUUAACCCCGUAACUUAGGGAUAAGGGGUACUCUUCGCUAGCCCUCGACGUCCGAAAGGACUAGUGGGCGUCGAAAAGAGUGUCACAAAAUAGAGAGUAGCGACUGUUUAUUAAAAACACAGGACUUUGCUAAAUUGAAAAAUGAUGUAUAAGGUCUGACACCUGCCCGGUGCUGGAAGGUUAAGAGGAGAGGUAUUAAAAAGCUUUGAAUCGAAGCCCCAGUAAACGGCGGCUGUAACUCUAACGGUCCUAAGGUAGCGAAAUUCCUUGUCGCAUAAGUAGCGACCUGCAUGAAUGGUGUAACGACUGCUCUACUGUCUCCAACAUGGACUCAGUGAAAUUGAAUUCUCCGUGAAGAUGCGGAGUACUGGUGGCUAGACGGGAAGACCCUGUGCACCUUUACUAUUUCUUUACAUUGGACCUUGAUCAUCUUUGUGUAGGAUAGGUGGGAGUCAAACUUAAACACUUGACAAUCUUGAAAUACCACUCUUAGACGAUCUAGUUCCUAACCUUUAAAAAAGGAACCAUGUAUGGUAGGUAGUUUGACUGGGGCGGUCGCCUCCUAAAAAGUAACGGAGGCGUGCGAAGGUAAGCUCAAGCGGGCCGGAAAUCCGCUGUAGAGUAUAAUGGCAUAAGCUUGCCUGACUGUAAGAUGGACACAUCGAGCAGAGACGAAAGUCGGCCAUAGUGGUCCGGGGACUUCCGUGUGGAAGGGUCCUCGCUUAACGGAUCAAAGGUACGCCAGGGAUAACAGGCUGAUAACCCCCAAGAGCUCUUAUCGACGGGGUUGUUUGGCACCUCGAUGUCGACUCAUCACAUCCUGGGGCUGAAGAAGGUCCCAAGGGUUCGGCUGUUCGCCGAUUAAAGUGGUACGUGAGUUGGGUUUAAAACGUCGUGAGACAGUUUGGUUCCUAUCUACCAUUAGAUUUUAUAGAAUUGAGAGAAUCUGUCCUUAGUACGAGAGGACCGGGAUGGGUGAACCUAUGGUGUAUCAGUUGUUCUACCAGGAGCAUUGCUGAGUAGCUACGUUCAUAUGAGAGAAUUGUUGAAAGCAUCUUAAACAAGAAACUCUACUCGAUACCAAUUCUUGGAUGUACAUUUCUGUAGAAGACUACUACAAAAUAGGCAUGAAGUUAUACCUUUGUAAAAAGCUUACUAACAUGUACUAAAUUAUAUCCGUAUUUUUAUAU
rnacentral:rRNA from 1 species